ensembl:snRNA U6 U6 spliceosomal RNA
UUUCUGCUUGCUUUCCCAGAACAUACACUAAAAUUGUAACUAUACAGAAAUGAUUUGCACAGCCCCUGCACAAAGAUGACAAGCAAAUUCAUGAAGUGCUCUAUAGUGGA